CGGGACGUAGCGCAGUUUGGUAGGCUAUCUGCUUUGGGAGCAGGGUGUCGCAGGUUCAAAUCCUGCCGUCCCGAAUA
rnacentral:tRNA from 1 species